UACGGGGGGGGGUAAGCGUUGUUCGGAAUUACUGGGCGUAAAGGGCUCGUAGGCGGCCAACUAAGUCAUACGUGAAAUCCCUCAGCUUAACUGGGGAACUGCGUCUGAUACUGGAUGGCUUGGAUUCGGGAGAGGAAUGCGGAAUUCCAGGUGUAGCGGUGAAAUGCGUAGAUAUCAGGAGGAACACCGGUGGCGAAGGCGGUUCUCUGGGCAUUACCUGACGCUGAGGAGCGAAAGUGUGGGGAGCGAACAGG
rnacentral:rRNA from 1 species